rnacentral:rRNA from 1 species
AGUGUACGCUGGCGGUAGGCCUAACACAUGCAAGUCGAACGGCAGCACAGUAAGAGCUUGCUCUUACGGGUGGCGAGUGGCGGACGGGUGAGGAAUACAUCGGAAUCUACUUUUUCGUGGGGGAUAACGUAGGGAAACUUACGCUAAUACCGCGUACGACCUACGGGUGAAAGCAGGGGAUCUUCGGACCUUGCGCGAUUGAAUGAGCCGAUGUCGGAUUAGCUAGUUGGCGGGGUAAAGGCCCACCAAGGCGACGAUCCGUAGCUGGUCUGAGAGGAUGAUCAGCCACACUGGAACUGAGACACGGUCCAGACUCCUACGGGAGGCAGCAGUGGGGAAUAUUGGACAAUGGGCGCAAGCCUGAUCCAGCCAUACCGCGUGGGUGAAGAAGGCCUUCGGGUUGUAAAGCCCUUUUGUUGGGAAAGAAAAGCAGCAGGUUAAUACCCCGCUGUUCUGACGGUACCCAAAGAAUAAGCACCGGCUAACUUCGUG